UUUAUCAUGCGAGAAUGGACCGAGUUGUUCCGUCAACUUGCAAUGGGCGAUAAUGCUGAGGUUGAAGCCACUCUAGACCGUUCCAUUCGAUUUGGUAGAA
rnacentral:tRNA from 1 species